GAUGGCAUAGCUCAGUGGUAGAGUGUGGGCCUAGCAUGCACAAGGUCCUGGGUUCAAUCCCUGGUACCUCUA
rnacentral:tRNA from 1 species